UACAAAUAUCCAAUUGUUCCA
rnacentral:piRNA from 1 species